UGAGCAAUCUGCCCUUCUCUUCGGAAUAAGCGUUGGAAACGACGUCUAAUGCCGAAUACGACCUCCUUUCGCAUGAUCGGAGGUAGAAAGCUCCGGCGGAGAAGGAUGAGCUCGCGGCCUAUUAGCUAGUUGGUGUGGGUAAUGGCCCACAAGGCGACGACGGGUAGCCGGCCUGAGAGGGUGACCGGCCACACUGGGACUGAGACACGGUCCAGACUCCUACGGGAGCAGCAGG
rnacentral:rRNA from 1 species